UAAAAAAAACUGAAAGCGGAAUUCGCGCAAAGUUCGGACACCAAAGCCGACACAACUGUCGCCGUAAGGGGUGGGAUGUAUCGCUAGUCCCGCCUUCUUGAGUGACGCUCACAGGCACCUCCGCCAACCGCAUCGCGCCGGAAGCGCUAUAACAAGACACUUAGUUCUUGACUACUAUUGCCAUCUAGCGGGUAAAGAUGAAGAUAUUUUUCUAAAUAUUCAUUCCUCAGAUUUGACAAGAAAUACGAACGGCGAAACACGAAAUUAAUUUGAAUACUAUUUCUUCGAAUUAAUUAAUUUUUAGUAUAUUAAUCAAGACUAUCAAGUUUAAAUCAAGGGAAAUCAAAAAAAGAGUAACCAAUUGAGGAGUUUGCCCCGGAAUCCAUGCACAUGUCUGCCAGCUUUCAAUGCUUUUUGCAAAAAUUUAUUCUAGUGGUUAUUGGGCUGGAGGAAGAAAAAAGUGAGUGCAAGCAGCCCCAGGUGACCAGUGUCAGGAAUGCGUGAUAAAUAUUCUCGCUAACAAGCGUACUUUUGCACCAUCUUGGAGUGUGUUUCAGCAUCCGAUCUCACCGCUGUUUAGUUACAGAAAAUAUUAAAAUAAAAAUUUUUAUAAAUUAAAA